UGUGCGCUGGUACCUCCCUCCAAAUUGAGGGGGCUUCCAACUGGGUGUUGAGAGAGGAGACUGCCCUGGGCCCACAGCCUGUGGGUCCUGUCCUCACCCCUAGGGGGCUGGGCAGGCUGGCCUCCAGGCACUCCUUCUGGUGACUUCCUAUAGACCCUCAUCCAAGCAACCAGACCCAGCUUGAUGCACCUCCACCACUGCCAGCACCCCUUUCCUUUUUGGGGUGGGGGUGGUAGAAGCAGUAGCAGGUGGGCAUCCCACACCCUGUCCUGGGAGGCCAGGCUCCCUGUCUCCCCUCCCAGCGUGCUGGUGACCCCAGGCUGUCUUGCCUCUUUGGCUCUCAGCAUUCUCCUCCAUGAGGCAGGGUAAGCGGGGAGAGGCCCCUGUUGCCAGCUCAUCCUGAGGGUGUGCACUGGGCAGUGGAGUUGCCAUGAAGUCCUGUGAGAUGCCCCCAGUCACUGGCCUCUGUGUCCACCCAGGGUCCUUUGAGCUCUUCAGUAAUCUGAAUGGUACAAUUAAAGACGACUUUUCUGAA
rnacentral:sRNA from 1 species